GACGAACGCUGGCGGCGUGCUUAACACAUGCAAGUCGAACGAAGUGGCGAAAGGGUGAGUAACGCGUAAGCAACCUGCCCUUCAGAGGGGAACAAAAGUUGGAAACGACUGCUAAUAACGAAACCUGAUGGCGGGGUUGGGGUCUGAGUAGCUAGUAGGGGGGGUAACGGCCCACCAAGGCGCUGAUCAGUAGCCGGUCUGAGAGGAUGAACGGCCACAUUGGGACUGAGACACGGCCCAGACUCCUACGGGAGGCAGCAGUGGGGAAUCUUCCGCAAUGGACGAAAGUCUGACGGAGCAACGCCGCGUGAGUGAUGACGGCCUUCGGGUUGUAAAGCUCUGUUAAUCGGGACGCGGUACCGGAAUAGAAAGCCACGGCUAACUACGUGCCAGCAGCCGCGGUAAUUC
rnacentral:rRNA from 1 species